GUUGCUUCUUGGCAUUUUUACUAAAGUCAAAUGUACAAUCUUUUCUUAUCAGUUUAAUUUCUGAUACAUUCUCUACUUGAGGAAGACAUGUUAAAUGGAUUUUUGGAACAGGAAGAAGGAACAGGGACUUAUUCCAUCCAUUCUAUACACUGAUCUACUUGAAGGGAUCAGUGCACCCUUU
ensembl:snRNA U2 U2 spliceosomal RNA